GAGAGUUGCCAAAAGCAGCAAUCUUCCUCUCAGUUGUGCAGGGGUUGUGUUAAAUGCAUUAAGCGAUGUUUCGAUUGUGGAUGCUGCUUAAUUAAUUGCGAUUACGUGGAGCUGUUCCAUUUCGAGUCGCUUUGUUUAGAUUGCCCGAUAGAUCCCGUGGGUUCGCAAUAGGGGGAGCAGAAAACCGCCCCUUUGUCUGAAACCACUGUUCACUAGGGGGAGGGUUACCAUAUUUACCUCUAUGGCUUGGAUGCAUAAUGUUUGUUGCUUUUCUUGGCUGUAGGAAAGCUUUGGGAUCACAUAAUGCUUUCGAGCAUCAGAUUUGAAAUGGAAGUCCUUUGUCUAUGUUGAAGAAAUUGGAGUCUGCAUAUUGUCGAACAUGGCAGGCCAGAAACUGAUCUUCCGCAUGGAUGCUUUGAUAAUCUUAUGUUAUAUGUAAGCUAUGUCAUGACUGUGUUAAGUAAAACUUCUGCCGAGUAACCCUUGUGUUGUAUGCAUGCUGGGUCAUGAUUAUGUUGAGUAACCCCAAUGUUGUAUGGUUGAUAUAUCAUGAUUCUGUUAAGUUACCGUUAUGCUGUGUCAUGAUUAUGUUUGAGUCAUGAUUUGUAGCGUAACGAAGGAGAGUAAUGUCAUUCACGAUGUUAC
rnacentral:misc_RNA from 1 species